GAAAAAAAUAACCUAUAAGACUCUGUGUAUACGCUUCCCAGCCAGAGCCGUCUGGAGUCUCCCACCAUGACAGUUUAUUUGUAAAUGUCAUGGGAAAGCCAGGGCAUGGGAGAUGGGCCAUAAACAGACACUGAAAUGACUCUCCCCAGCCAGUGGCUUUUGGUUCAGCAGACAGAGUGAGAGAUGAGCUGCCAAGCACAACGUUUUCUGAUGCACUGUCUCUUGCCUGUUCCAGCCGCCUGGCACUGAGUCCCUUGGAUGGGAACAUGGAUUUGAGCAGCCACUUGGAGUCGACACUGCCAGGAGCCCAGCCUCCUUUCUCCUCGGCUCACCUCCCGCUCAGGUGCACCAGAGGGCUUGUCUUCUCUCCCGUCUCUGAAGAGCAGCUGCAGAAGGAGGCUGCCGAGGCCUUGAUGGUGCUGAGAAAUUCCACCCAGCUGGCCCCCUCUGCUGCCAUGCCAGACUUUCUGCCCCUCACUGGCUCUGCACCCCCCUUGCUGGCCUUUCCUGCUUUCACCCCUUACCCUGGAGACCCUGGUAACAUGGGGGCAUCUGAUCCCACCCAGCAGCAGGUCCUGAAGGCCCCUGGGGACAAGGCUUUGCCAGCAGAGCGGGCUGGCGCUGGUGGGCAGCAGGGCUUAGGAUGUGUGCUCCCCGGUUUGCUGCACUGCAGCACUCUUCCUCAGCCAUGCAAGAACUUCCGCCUGGUCUCGACAGCACCACAGGGAGCCACAACCCUGAUGGUUUCCAACAUCCAGGUCUUCAAACCUGGUUCCAGCCCCCGGGAGAUUCCUAACUAUGAUGCCCCCCAUCCUGCCCCUUCUGACUCCAUGGGCUCCACUGCACAGACCCUCUGCGAGGCACAGGCUGCGGAUCCUGGUGGGAUUCCAGAGACAGCUGCGUCCGCCCCGGAUCCACCUUGCACUGCCUCUGCUCUCAGCAGUCCUCGGUCCCUGCCCUUGUGUGCCCCUCCUGCAGAAAUGCCCAUCUCCAUGCUGCCCACGCAAAGCCCCCCUGUCAUGGUGGAAGUGCACACGCUCCCCAGGCUGUCCUUACUGACUCCCAGCCCAAACCUCAUUACCCACCAGCCCCUCCCAGACACUGUGCUUGCCCCAAGGUUCAAGUGUCAGCAGGGCCCUGCGAGCCAGGGGAGCGGCAGUGGCAGCAAGGGGCAGGUGGCAGAGGAAAGCAGCAGAAGCAGGGCACCUGGGACCUGGGGCCUGGCAGGUACAGUGUGAGCCACUCGGCUGCUCCCAUCACUGAGGGCAUAUGUCCGAUUACUGACCCUUCCCGCCAGGGGUCUGGCCUGCUCAGGCACAGAGACCAAGCACACUCAGCUCCCACUCAGGCCACUGAACGGCUGUACGAU
rnacentral:lncRNA from 1 species